GACGAAGGGGGCUAGCGUUGUUCGGAAUUACUGGGCGUAAAGCGCGUGUAGGCGGUUGUCCAAGUUGGAUGUGAAAGCCUUGAGCUUAACUCAAGAAAUGCAUUCAGGACUGGAUGACUAGAGGACCGGAGAGGGUAGUGGAAUUCCCAGUGUAGUGGUGAAAUACGUAGAGAUUGGGAAGAACACCAGUGGCGAAGGCGGCUAUCUGGACGGUUUCUGACGCUAAGACGCGAAAGCGUGGGGAGCAAACAGG
rnacentral:rRNA from 1 species